CACUGUGACUGUGAACCCGUGUGAUCCAGCGCCAGAUCCAGAUGCCUACUGAGCACCUCCAGGGAUGAUGACUCCAUUACCUCCCUAGGUUCAGAAAGGUCACCUGUCCAUCUGACCAGACUGUCUGCCUCUGAACACACGAGAUCCAGUGAACAGAGAAGUCACCACACAGCCUUGGUACUCCACACAUGGAUCAGAAGUGGACCUGUCAGGACACAGUUGUGUCUGAACACUACAUAGACAGUUGCCAACAGAAAUUUUAUGUUGUUAUUAUGAUGUUGUGUCUCUAUCAAUUUUUCAGUUAUCCUUUGUUUUAAGAUUUAGAAGGAUGUGAAGAACAACUUGAACGUCAAAGCCCUCAGUCACCGAUCAACUGCCAGCUGACAUCAUGGGAGCAGUGAACGUUCCAAGACUGAAUCGUGUUAGAGAAAUUCUGUAGAAGAUCUAAGAAAAGUGUAGAGACUCCAUCUAACUGUAUAUAAAGCAAAUUGUAGUUGUGUGUUUACUCUUUCAGCAAAUUGCUUUCACGCUUAGACUACAUAUAUACCAGAGCACGUGUGUUAAAAGUGGUUAGAUAAUGGUUUAAGAUAAAGAGUUUAGUUUGUGUAGUAAUUGCUAUGUUAGUAUAAAGUAUAAGUAUUCCCCCUUCAAGAGGUAGUGUAAGCAUCUUUGAAAGUUCAUUUAACGAUUGAAGUUUUAGCUGUGAGUUUGCAAAUAUGGUGUCAUUUAUAUGGUAAAAUGCUUAUGGUAAUUGUGUUGUGUAUAGUCGUGACCAACUGUCUGCUAACUAACAUCCAAAAGCGACAGAACAUAUGGGUCACUCUGGCACAUUGAACUGGCCAAAGGUCAAUGUGUCUAAGCUUAGCCACCCCUGGAGAUCCUUUUGCACCUGUCUCAUAGGAGUCCCGAAUGGGAUCCUCCAACAUUUAAAGGUUUAAUCAGUAAUGAGACUCAACUGAAUCGAUUGGCAAUGUUGCAAGAGUGCAGUUGCACUGUUGGCUUCACAUUAAGACAACUUGAAGCCUGUUGGCAAGCAAAAAUUACCAAAGUUCUCAAUGUUACAACCCUCAGAAGAAUUAGAUUUGUUAAGGUCCACCAAUACCUCAGGUGGAUGGAUAAUGUUUGAACCCCCGACAAAAAGUCAUUCUAACAAAGUAAUGUGGCACUGAGCUGCAGUCAGCCCUAUAGCUGAUCUCGUUACUACCAUUGAAAGUAAAGCCUUUGUUCGUGGUGCAAUCUCACAAGACAAUUACCAAGGCGACUACCUAGUUCCAUAUUCCUAAUCUGUGGAGAUAGAGCAUGGAAUUAGAUUCCUGCUAGUCCACAUAGAAGACCCUGUUAUCUUGGGAGAUUUACUUUGUUCCACCCAAGCUUACACCGAUUGUUGAAUACAGCUAGCAAAAUGAAGAACAUCAAACAGUCAAAGCGAAGCCUGAAUGAAUUAAAACUUAGCAACUCUAAAAAGGCUCACUUGCUGGACUAGGAAAGAAUUAAACUUAACCUCCACAAUGUUAAGUGAGCUUUCAGGCGAUGUGAGUAGUGUAUGUCAUGCAGUAUUAUGAAAUCAAGCUGCAAUUGACUUUUUGCUCUUAGCACAAGGACAUGGUUGUGAGGAGUUUGAAGGCAUGUGCUGCUUGGAUCUUACUGAGCAUUCAGCUUCCAUCCAUAAACAACUAUAACAGCUACAGGAUGGGUUACAUGCCCUGAAAGAAGAUAGUGAUCCCAUCGGAGGUUGGUUCGCCAGCUGCGGCAUCACUGGAUGGUUGAGGUCUCUUGUGCUAGAAGGGGGAUGGACUUUACUUACAAUGUUAAUCAGGAUGACAGUCUAGGUUGUAUGUUAUCUUAUCCAAAGCCUGGUUUGUGCAAAAAGAGAAAGGGGGAAUUGUUGAUAUAUUUUAUAUAUUAGUAAAGGCCUGUAUGCACAAACCAGCCUUCGACAUAAGUCGUGAUAUUAAAGGCUAAAGUCCUUGAAACCUUCAUGCAGAAGACAGAGUAAAGUAAAACAAUAUCCUUGUGUGUAGGAGAAAAAAUGUAAACUGUGUGUGUUAGCCUGUGUGUAAACUGUGUGUGUGUAUCUUGCUCUGCCCGCAGACCCUGUAGAACCCUAUAAAAGGUGUGCUAAAGAUAGAAAUAAACAGCAUUCACAAUUA